GAUGAACGCUGGCGGCGUGCCUAAUACAUGCAAGUCGAGCGAACGGACGAGAAGCUUGCUUCUCUGAUGUUAGCGGCGGACGGGUGAGUAACACGUGGAUAACCUACCUAUAAGACUGGGAUAACUUCGGGAAACCGGAGCUAAUACCGGAUAAUAUUUUGAACCGCAUGGUUCAAAAGUGAAAGACGGUCUUGCUGUCACUUAUAGAUGGAUCCGCGCUGCAUUAGCUAGUUGGUAAGGUAACGGCUUACCAAGGCAACGAUGCAUAGCCGACCUGAGAGGGUGAUCGGCCACACUGGAACUGAGACACGGUCCAGACUCCUACGGGAGGCAGCAGUAGGGAAUCUUCCGCAAAGGGCGAAAGCCUGACGGAGCAACGCCGCGUGAGUGAUGAAGGUCUUCGGAUCGUAAAACUCUGUUAUUAGGGAAGAACAUAUGUGUAAGUAACUGUGCACAUCUUGACGGUACCUAAUCAGAAAGCCACGGCUAACUGCGUG
rnacentral:rRNA from 1 species